rnacentral:rRNA from 1 species
UUAAGUGAAUAAGGGCGCACGGUGGAUGCCUUGGCACUAGGAGCCGAUGAAGGACGGGACUAACACCGAUAUGCUUUGGGGAGCUGUAAGUAAGCUAUGAUCCAGAGAUUUCCGAAUGGGGGAACCCAAUAUCUUUUAUAGGAUAUUACUUUUCAGUGAAUACAUAGCUGAUUAGAGGUAGACGCAGAGAACUGAAACAUCUUAGUACCUGCAGGAAGAGAAAGAAAAUUCGAUUCCCUGAGUAGCGGCGAGCGAAACGGGAAGAGCCCAAACCAACAAGCUUGCUUGUUGGGGUUGUAGGACUCCAAUAUGGUAGUCUGUUAGUAUAGUUGAAGGAUUUGGAAAAUUCCGCUAAAGAGGGUGAAAGCCCCGUAGACGAAAUGCUGACAACACCUAGGAGGAUCCUGAGUACGGCGGAACACGAGAAAUUCCGUCGGAAUCCGCGGGGACCAUCCCGCAAGGCUAAAUACUCCCUAGUGACCGAUAGUGAACCAGUACCGUGAGGGAAAGGUGAAAAGCACCCCGGAAGGGGAGUGAAAUAGAUCCUGAAACCGUGUGCCUACAACAAGUCAAAGCUCGUUAAUGAGUGAUGGCGUGCCUUUUGUAGAAUGAACCGGCGAGUUACGAUUGCAUGCGAGGUUAAGUCGAAGAGACGGAGCCGCAGCGAAAGCGAGUCUGAAUAGGGCGAAUGAGUAUGUAGUCGUAGACCCGAAACCAUGUGAUCUACCCAUGUCCAGGUUGAAGGUGCGGUAAAACGCACUGGAGGACCGAACCCACGUACGUUGAAAAGUGCGGGGAUGAGGUGUGGGUAGCGGAGAAAUUCCAAACGAACUUGGAGAUAGCUGGUUCUCUCCGAAAUAGCUUUAGGGCUAGCCUCGGAAUUGAGAAUGAUGGAGGUAGAGCACUGUUUGGACUAGGGGCCCAUCUCGGGUUACCGAAUUCAGAUAAACUCCGAAUGCCAUUCAUUUAUAUCCGGGAGUCAGACUGCGAGUGAUAAGAUCCGUAGUCGAAAGGGAAACAGCCCAGACCACCAGCUAAGGUCCCAAAAUAUAUGUUAAGUGGAAAAGGAUGUGGGGUUGCACAGACAACUAGGAUGUUGGCUUAGAAGCAGCCACCAUUUAAAGAGUGCGUAAUAGCUCACUAGUCGAGUGACCCUGCGCCGAAAAUGUACCGGGGCUAAACAUAUUACCGAAGCUGUGGACUACACCAUUAGGUGUAGUGGUAGGAGAGCGUUCUAAGGGCGUUGAAGGUCGAUCGUGAGGACGGCUGGAGCGCUUAGAAGUGAGAAUGCCGGUAUGAGUAGCGAAAGACAGGUGAGAAUCCUGUCCACCGUAUGACUAAGGUUUCCUGGGGAAGGCUCGUCCGCCCAGGGUUAGUCGGGACCUAAGCCGAGGCCGAUAGGCGUAGGCGAUGGACAACAGGUUGAUAUUCCUGUACCAGUUGUUUUUGUUUGAGCAAUGGAGGGACGCAGUAGGCUAAGGAAUGCAUGCGAUUGGAAGUGCAUGUCCAAGCAAUGAGUCUUGAGUAGAGUUAAAUGCUUUACUCUUUAAGGACAAGUUGUGACGGGGAGCGAAAUAAUAGUAGCGAAGUUCCUGAUGUCACACUGCCAAGAAAAGCUUCUAGUGAGAAAACAACUGCCCGUACCGUAAACCGACACAGGUAGUCGAGGAGAGUAUCCUAAGGUGAGCGAGCGAACUCUCGUUAAGGAACUCGGCAAAAUGACCCCGUAACUUCGGGAGAAGGGGUGCUGACUUCGGUCAGCCGCAGUGAAUAGGCCCAAGCGACUGUUUAUCAAAAACACAGGUCUCUGCAAAAUCGUAAGAUGAAGUAUAGGGGCUGACGCCUGCCCGGUGCUGGAAGGUUAAGAGGAUGGGUUAGCUUCGGCGAAGCUCAGAAUUGAAGCCCCAGUAAACGGCGGCCGUAACUAUAACGGUCCUAAGGUAGCGAAAUUCCUUGUCGGGUAAGUUCCGACCCGCACGAAAGGCGUAACGAUUUGGGCACUGUCUCAACGAGAGACUCGGUGAAAUUUUAGUACCUGUGAAGAUGCAGGUUACCCGCGACAGGACGGAAAGACCCCAUGGAGCUUUACUGUAGUUUGAUAUUGAGUGUUUGUACCACAUGUACAGGAUAGGUAGGAGCCGAUGAGACCGGAACGCUAGUUUCGGAGGAGGCGCUGGUGGGAUACUACCCUUGUGUUAUGAACCCUCUAACCCGCACCACUA